rnacentral:rRNA from 1 species
UACAGAGGUCUCAAGCGUUGUUCGGAUUCAUUGGGCGUAAAGGGUGCGUAGGUGGCGGGGUAAGUCAGGUGUGAAAUUUCGGAGCUUAACUCCGAAACUGCAUUUGAUACUGCCUUGCUUGAGGACUGGAGAGGAGACUGGAAUUUACGGUGUAGCAGUGAAAUGCGUAGAUAUCGUAAGGAAGACCAGUGGCGAAGGCGGGUUGCUGGGCUGAUACUGACGCUGAGGCGCGAAAGCGUGGGGAGCAAACAGG